UUUUAAAUGGCCGCAGUAUUUUGACUGUGCAAAGGUAGCAUAAUCAUUAGUUUUUUAAUUAAAAGCUUGUAUGAAAGGCUGGACGAGGUAAAAUCUGUCUCUAUUUAAAUUAUAGUAGAAUUUAACUUUUAAGUUAAAAGGCUUAAAUAUUAUUAAAAGACGAGAAGACCCUAUAGAUCUUUAUAGUUUAUUAAAUUAAAUUAAUUUAGAAAUAUUAAUGUUUUAUUUARUUAAGUUAUUUUAUUGGGGUAAUAAAAAGAUUGAAUUAAUUCUUUUUUAUAAUAAACAUUAAUUUAUGAAUAUUAAUGAUCCAGUUUUACUGAUUAUAAGAUUAAGUUACCUUAGGGAUAACAGCGUAAUUUUUUUAGAGAGUUCAUAUCGAUAAAAAAGUUUGCGACCUCGAUGUUGGAUUAAAGAUUAUUUUAGGUGUAGAAGCUUAAUAAUUUUGGUCUGUUCGACCAUUAAAUCUUUACAUGAUCUGAGUUCAGACCGGCGUAAGCCAGGUCGGUUUCUAUCUUUAAUAAAAUAAAAUAUUUUAGUACGAAAGGACCAAAUAUUUGAUAUAUUUAUAUUUAAUUUAUUGAAUAUUA
rnacentral:rRNA from 1 species